AGAGUUUGAUCCUGGCUCAGAACGAACGCUGGUAGCGUGGAUUAGGCAUGCAAGUCGAACGGGAUCACGGGGAUAGCAAUAUUCCUGUGUGAGAGUGGCGGAUUGGGGAGGAACACGUGAACAACCUGCCCUUGAGUUCGGGAAAACCAUUGGAAACGAUGGCUAAUACCGGAUGUGGCGCCCUGUGACAUCACAGGAGCGCUAAAGGGGGCCGCAAGGCUCCCGCUCAUCGAGGGGUUCGCGCACCAUCAGCUUGUUGGCGGGGUAACGGCCCACCAAGGCCUACGGUUAGCUGGUCUGAGAGGAUGACCAGCCCCACUGGGACUGAGAUACUGCCCAGACUCCUACGGGAGGCUGCAGUCGAGGAUCAUUUGCAAUGGGCGAAAGCCUGACAAUGCGACGCUGCGUGGAGGAUGAAGGCCUUCGGGUUGUAAACUCCUGUCAUAGGGGAACAGGCGAGAGCGGUCAAUACCCGCUUUAGUUGAGUGUACCCUAAGAGGAAUUGGCGGCUAACUCUGUGCCAGCAGCCGCGGUAAUACAGAGGCCAAGAGCGUUGUUCGGAUUUACUGGGCGUAAAGGGCGCGUAGGCGGUCUUGCGUGUCAAGUGUGAAAUCUCCGGGCUCAACCCGGAAAGUGCGCUUGAAACUACAGGACUCGAGUCUGGGAGAGGGAAUCGGAAUGCAGGGUGUAGCGGUGAAAUGCGUUGAUAUCCUGCAGAACACCGGAGGCGAAGGCGGAUUCCUUGAACAGUACUGACGCUGAGGCGCGAAAGUCGGGGGAGCAAACAGGAUUAGAUACCCUGGUAGUCCUCGACCUUAAACGGUGCAC
rnacentral:rRNA from 1 species